GAGAUCUAGUGCUUCGACGAGCCGCUGUCUCGCAACCUCAGGAUCGAGGGAAGCUCGCCCCAAAUUGGGAAGGCCCAUACGAAGUCAAAGAAGUAGUCCGGCUCGAAACUUAUUACCUCAAAGAGCUCGAAGGAAUAGACCUCCCACGGCCAUGGAGCUCGAAAAACUUACGAAUGUACUACCGAUAACUUUGUUUUAAAUAAAAAUUUCAUAUCCACAUGUCUUCUCU
rnacentral:lncRNA from 1 species